AUGGAUAUAUCCAAAAAGAAACAAGAAGAAAAGGAAUUUGAGGCGGCCAUGGUUGCAUUUACUAUGAAUGUGGCGUCGUCAAGUGUGACACUGCCGUAUGCACCAAGAAAGUUACAUCUUGUUACAGGCCUCCAAUGGGUAGAAGAGAAGGAGAAAGAUGCAAAAGCUUUCUUUGCUAUGUUCAGAAUGAGGAGGUCAGUGUUUCACACAUUGCAUGAUCUGUUAGUUCAGAAGUAUGGGCCAUCCGAGAACUUGCAACAUUUCCUCCAAAGAAGCAUUGACACAUUUUUUUAUGGAGCGUGGGUACAUGUCAGACAACUGAUAAUGUCACAGAUCGGUUUGCACAUAGUCAUUAUGUCAUUAACAAAAAAUUCCACGAGGUUUUGGAGUGUGUAG
rnacentral:rRNA from 1 species